CAGAACGUAGCUGAGAGAAGCACAGCGUCUCCCUUACACUGAGAAGCCGCCUGUGCAAACCAGGCCGAUCUGA
rnacentral:tRNA from 1 species